rnacentral:rRNA from 1 species
UUUUAAAUAAGUAAGAGUGAGUUGUGGAUGCCUUGGGUCUGGAAGUCGAUGAAGGACGUGAUUACCUGCGAUAAGCCUCGUGGAGCUGGAUAUAAGCUACGAUACGGGGAUUUCCGAAUGGGGAAACCUAAUUAGAGUAAUAUCUAAUUGCAUUAGAAUGAAUACAUAGUUCUAAUGACGAGACACGUUGUGAACUGAAACAUCUUAGUAGCAACAGGAAGAGAAAAUAAACAAUGAUUCCAUUAGUAGCGGCGAGCGAACUUGGAAGAGCCCAAACCAACAUUUAUGUUGGGGUUGUAGGACUAUCUACAUGAAGUUACAAAAUUUUGUUAUAGCAGAAAAAGUUGGGAAACUUUAGCAUAGAGGGUGAUACUCCCGUAUGCGAAAUGGCAAAAUCUUCUGAUAGUAUCCUGAGUAGGGCGGGGCACGUGAAACCCUGUCUGAAUCUGCCGGGACCAUCCGGUAAGGCUAAAUACUAACCAGACACCGAUAGUGAACUAGUACCGUGAGGGAAAGGUGAAAAGAACCCCGGGAGGGGAGUGAAA